rnacentral:rRNA from 1 species
GAUGAACGCUAGCGGCAGGCCUAAUACAUGCAAGUCGAACGGUAACAUGAGUAGCAAUACUUGAUGACGAGUGGCGCACGGGUGCGUAACACGUAUGUAAUCUUCCCACAACUGGGGGAUAGCCCGGAGAAAUCCGGAUUAAUACCCCAUAACCCAGCGAGGUGGCAUCACCUUUCUGGUAAAUCUCCGGAGGUUGUGGAUGAACAUGCGUCCGAUUAGCUAGUUGGCGGGGUAACGGCCCACCAAGGCUACGAUCGGUAGGGGUACUGAGAGGUUAAACCCCCAAACUGGUACUGAGAAACGGACCAGACUCCGACGGGAGGCAGCAGUAAGGAAUAUUGGACAAUGGAGGCAACGCUGAUCCAGCCAUGCAGCGUGAAAGAUGAAGGCGCUAUGCGUCGUAAACUUCUUUUGAACGGGAAAAAACCCCUUUACGUGUAAAGGGUUGAUUGUACCGUUAGAAUAAGGGUCGGCUAACUUCGUGCCAGCCGCCGCGGUAAAAC